GUGCAUUUUUACUGNCAGNNUCGACGGUACGCNGGGGAGAAGCUUGCUUCUCUCCGGCGACGAGUGGCGAACGGGUGACUAUACAUCGGAACGUGUCCGCUCGUGGGGGACAACCAGCCGAAAGGUUGGCUAAUACCGCAUGAGUUCUACGGAAGAAAGAGGGGGACCCGCAAGGGCCUCUCGCGAGCGGAGCGGCCGAUGACUGAUUAGCCGGUUGGUGAGGUAACGGCUCACCAAAGCAACGAUCAGUAGCUGGUCUGAGAGGACGACCAGCCACACUGGGACUGAGACACGGCCCAGACUCCUACGGGAGGCAGCAGUGGGGAAUUUUGGACAAUGGGCGCAAGCCUGAUCCAGCUAUUCCGCGUGUGGGAUGAAGGCCCUCGGGUUGUAAACCACUUUUGUAGAGAACGAAAAGACACCUUCGAAUAAAGGGUGUUGCUGACGGUACUCUAAGAAUAAGCACCGGCUAACUACGUGCCAGCAGCCGCGGUAAUACGUAGGGUGCGAGCGUUAAUCGGAAUUACUGGGCGUAAAGGGUGCGCAGGCGGUUGAGUAAGACAGAUGUGAAAUCCCCGAGCUUAACUCGGGAAUGGCAUAUGUGACUGCUCGACUAGAGUGUGUCAGAGGGAGGUGGAAUUCCACGUGUAGCAGUGAAAUGCGUAGAUAUGUGGAAGAACACCGAUGGCGAAGGCAGCCUCCUGGGACAUAACUGACGCUCAGGCACGAAAGCGUGGGGAGCAAACAGGA
rnacentral:rRNA from 1 species